UGAGACUGCAGCUUUUGGAAGACAUUUGAUUUUGAUGUGAAAUGCCACAAGCUGAACAAAUGCUCCAGAGCAGAAAAAUAAAAUGGAUUAACAAAUGGAACGAAUCUUUCACACUUCUGACACAGAUCCUUGCCAGGAAGAUAUGAAUGGUUAUAGAUGCACUUUGGUUAGAGGAAGAAAAAUUUCAAAGAGCUAGAUCCACAGCUCAUAUAAAAUAUAUAGCUCCACUGACUUCGAUAAUGUUGUGCUGAGCUUCACCAGCUGAAGAUCUGGUUGAAGGUGCAGAAGUUGACUGUCCUGUCCACUUCAAAUUCAUUUAUCCUCAAAAGUAUCUGCAGCUUAAAGUCUUCUACUAAAAUAGCUGAGUGGGAAUCAGAGAAACUGCAGGUGGAAAACAGCUAGAACUGAGUGAAUAGAACAAAAAAAGCAUUCCCAAAUAUAUUUGUAAAUAAAAAUUAUCAAUCCACUUCACUAGUACCUGCAGUCCUUCAGUGGUGUCAAACAGGGAUGUGUUUUGGCAUCAACACGCUUUGAUGUAUUCUUCUCUCUCCUGCUUUGUCACACUUUCUCAUUUAGCACCGAGAGAGAAGAUUUCUGUACAAGAUCAGAUGGAAAACUCUUCAAUAUUGCACGUCUAAGAGCCAAAAGCAAAAUCAAACACCUGCUGAUAAAAUAAUUUCUUUUCACUGAUGACGCAGUGCUCAUGAUGCUGAUGACGCAGUGGAGAGGAGCUCCAGCAGCUGUGCAAUCGUUUUGCGCUAGCUUGUAAGGAAUUUGAACUAACCAUGAGUCCAAAGAAAACAAUGAUUAUGGCACAAAUAUAAGAAUGGCCAUACUAGGUCAGACCACCAGUCCAUCUAGCCCAAUAUCUUGUCUUCAGAUAACAGUUGGUGCCAGAUGCUUCAGAGGGAAUGAACAGAACAGGACAAUGUAUCAAGUAAUCUGUUGUCCAGUCCAAGCUUCUGGACUGGCAGUCAGAGGUCUAGGGACACCCGGAGCAUUGAGUGGUCUGGGGACACCCUGACCAUCUUGGCUAAUAGCCACUAAUGAACCUAUCCUCCAUAAAUUUAUCUAAUUCUUUUUUUUUUUUUUUGUUAUCUAGUUAACCUGUUUCAGAGUUGCUAACUAUUGUGAUUUUAGCAUGAAUGUCACAUUAUUAAGUGUUUUUCUUAAAAGCCUCAGCUUCUGAAAUUAACUGAUUACAUGAAAUGUCAGCUUUCACUUUUUAAAAAAAGUACAUUUUCAGCCCAGAUGAUUGCAGAUAAAAUAAUGACCCUUUAAAGCUCAAAACCACUAUGUAAAUAAAAAGAACUCCAAACUUAUUGUUUUGUUUUGUUUUUUUAUCUCAUGAUUUUUAAGUGCUUGGCAACACAAGCUUAGGUUAACCAGUAAGGAAACAGAAACAAUACCAAGCUGAUGAGUAAUCACAUACAGUGAAGAGCAAAUACUCACAGGGACCACUAUGAAAUUUAACUCAAAGAGAGAGCUAAAUUCAUUAAACAAACUGUUACCUGGAAAUAGUCCCCCCAGCUCUAGAAAAGACCUGGUGGCUCACCAAGUGUACCUUCAUCCCUCCUUGGCCUACACGUUCUUUGUUCAGUCUAAUUUAAACACCCUUGAUAUGGCCAGGGUGCCAAACUUUGAGAACCCGAUUCUGAUCUCACUUGCACCAAUAUAAAGCCAGAGUAAUUUCAGUGAAGGAAAUGAAGUUACACCCAUGUAAAUCUCAUGUGAAUAAGGUCAAAUUCUGAACAUCUGUCUGCUCUGCCCUUACAGAGUCAUUUUGCUCUUUGGCAAAAUCAAGCACCGUGUUAUAGUAUGACGAGUGGAAAUAGAGAAACAGGAUCAUGUUUCAGGUGGACCUAGAUUGUGAGGUACUGGGGUUUAGGAACACAGGCUUGCGGCUGGCUGUGAAAUGACAAAUGGCAGAUUCUCAGCCAGUAAUACUGACCUCUCAGCAUGGUUAAUAAAGCUCUGAUUCUUACAAAUCUAGCUUAUUGCUGCAUCACUGAAUGUUAAUGAAAGGGUUAAAGCAAUUGUGUCCUCAGACUAGAAAGAAGUUUUGUCCCUGGAUUUUAUCUUCCUGAUAUCACUAGUUGAAAGUAGGGGGUGGUGUGGGAAGUAAGUAACUGAGAUGAUUUUGUGAUUCAAGGAUUACUAUGUGAUACCACUAGUUUAGAGGUAUUGUGAAUUUUAGGCUAACAGCUGACUUUACCUAGCAAUUAGUUUUAAACUGUAUCAUUUCAGUAUAGCUCAAAAGACACUGUGAAUGAACAACAUCAUUACUCCAUUUUCUACUUUAAUCAGAUUAGUCCCCUGACUUUCUGGGCAUUUUUUCCCCAAUAAUUAAAUGAUUAAUCUUUUGUAUUUGGGUGCAUGGAUUCCUAUCCCACUUUUUAUGUUAGAAAAUUAAUGUUCUUUUGCAAUAUCAUUCUGUUAGUGAUGCAUGAGCUGUUAUGCAACAAACAUAGCUUCCUGUUGUCCUAAAUAAAUAUUGCUACUUAAAGUAGUCAUGUUAAGUUUUGAGAUAAUUGGAUAUAUAUCACCUGCAAAUGUUCCUCCAAAUAUGAAAGCAAUUAAAUUGGGUAAAAUUAAAUAGCUAACAUUGUGUGCAUGUAAAGUCAAUAAAUAAAGGUGCCAUUCCUGCUGUG